UAUGUGCACAAGAAAUUUAGUCAGCAAUAUAAGGCUACAAUUGGUGCCGAUUUCGUUACCAAAGAACUCCAGAUUGAUGACAGGCUUGUCACUCUGCAAAGUGGGUUUUCUAGCUCUAUUGAUUUUUUGUUUUCUGUUUCGGAAUCUUUGCAGAUGCUUCCUAAAAUACUGGUAUUUAUGCGUGUAGAUAUGGGACACGGCUGGGCAAGAAAGAUUUCAGUCACUUGGAGUUGCAUUUUAUAGAGGAGCAGAUUGCUGCGUUCUAGUUUAUGAUGUGAAUGUCAUGAGAUCAUUCGAUACUCUUGACAACUGGCACGAAG
rnacentral:lncRNA from 1 species